CCUACGGGAGGCAGCAGUGAGGAAUAUUGGACAAUGGAGGCAACUCUGAUCCAGCCAUGCCGCGUGCAGGAAGACUGCCCUAUGGGUUGUAAACUGCUUUUAUAUGGGAAGAAUAAGAUCUACGUGUAGAUUGAUGACGGUACCAUAAGAAUAAGCACCGGCUAACUCCGUGCCAGCAGCCGCGGUAAUACGGAGGGUGCAAGCGUUAUCCGGAAUCAUUGGGUUUAAAGGGUCCGUAGGCGGGCUUAUAAGUCAGUGGUGAAAGUCUGUGGCUCAACCAUAGAACUGCCAUUGAUACUGUAGGUCUUGAAUCGUUGUGAAGUGGUUAGAAUAUGUAGUGUAGCGGUGAAAUGCUUAGAUAUUACAUAGAAUACCGAUUGCGAAGGCAGAUCACUAACAACGUAUUGACGCUGAUGGACGAAAGCGUAGGUAGCGAACAG
rnacentral:rRNA from 1 species